CGGGCGGGCCCGGAUUUGCCGCCGCGCUUGGGAAGCCGCCACCGCCGCCGCUGCUGCAUGGCACUAGGCUCCCGGCGGGGCAGGUUCCGCAGCCGGCACCGCUCUGGCUAGGCGCACGGAGGCGCCUUGCUUAGUCUGACCCUUAUUUGGCCAGGCGUAAAACUUGUCCUGCCUAAAAGCCUACUGAGACCUCCUAACUGGUCUAAUCCGCGGGAGACGCCAAAGGCGGCGGCCGUUUGUGCGCACAGGAUUUUUCUUGGAGCUGUAGCAGUCUAGGAAGCCAGGGUGGAACUUUUGCUAAGCUCCCGUUGUAAGCCCAGAGCUGUAAUAACUGCUGAGACACAACCAGCAGUAUACAGGCUCCAGUUGGAAAUCGAGAACUUUCCAGGGCUGUCACCCAGGCUGGAGUGCAGUGGUGCCAUCACAGCUCACUGCAGCCUCGACCUCCUAGGCUAAAGUGAUCCUCCCAACUCAGCCUCCCGUAGCUGGGACUACAGGAAUGUGCCACGCCCAGAGGAGGACAUACAAAGGAGUCCUGGCUAAUGAGAGAUAAGCAUGUGCCUGCUGUGGAGCUUCUUGGAAAGUUUCAACUGGUAAAAGGGGAAGAAUUGAACACAGAAGUGAUGGCAAGAG
rnacentral:lncRNA from 10 species